rnacentral:rRNA from 1 species
GAACUAAGGACUGUGGGCUUGGAUUCGGUACUGGCAUGCUUCCAUGUAAUUCCGUGUUAUAACGGGGUUGCGGGAAGUAUGACCGGUAUCCUUGGCAUCUUUCCCCGUGGAUUUCAUCUAACGGGUGCUCAGGUGUGGGUCCUUGCCUAUAGUCCGCUCCUUGCCAACGGUUCGCCGUUGGUAAAGGCCUUAUGGUACAACUGUAAACAAAUCAGAGUGCUCAAAGCAGGCAUUGUUAAUGGGGAUUUAUCCUCGGAUUUGCUUGAAUGAUUUAGCAUGGGAUUGUCUUGGAGCCGUGAAUAGUGCCUAUUCGUUCUACGGGUAGGUUACUGUUCACUGGCGCUUGUAAUGUGAAGCAGGGAGAGGGCUCAAGUACUAUGGUGCUAGAGGUGAAAUUUAGAUACCAACAUAUGACUUUCUGAUGCGAAAGCUGUUAUUGUCCAAUACACUUCUUUCGAUCAGGGACGAAAGUUAGGGGAUCGAAGAUGAUUAGAUACCGUCGUAGUCCUAACUAUAAACGAUACCAACAAGAGAUUGGU